rnacentral:rRNA from 1 species
AUACGGAGGAUCCGAGCGUUAUCCGGAUUUAUUGGGUUUAAAGGGUGCGCAGGCGGGAGAUUAAGUCGGCGGUGAAAUUUUGCAGCUCAACUGUAUAAGUGCCUUCGAAACUGGUUUCCUUGAGUGUAGAUGAAGUAGGCGGAAUUUGUGGUGUAGCGGUGAAAUGCAUAGAUAUCACGAGGAACUCCGAUUGCGCAGGCAGCUUACUAAACUACUACUGACGCUCAGGCACGAAGGCGUGGGGAUCAAACAGGAUUAGAUACCCUGGUAGUCCACGCAGUAAACGAUGAUUACUAGCUGUUUGCGAUACAAUGUAAGCGGCUGAGCGAAAGCGUUAAGUAAUCCACCUGGGGAGUACGUUCGCAAGAAUGAAACUCAAAUGAAUUGGCGGGG